UAGUGCUCAUAGUAAGUUUGCUUACAGUUGCAAAGUGCAAGCUCUUUUUUGCCUGUGAUGGCCCUUGCUCCUCAAGAGAAGGAAAGGAUUGUUGAUAUGGCGGCUGCUCCUAGUGGUAAAACAACCUACGUUGCUGCUCUUAUGAAAAACAGUGGUAUAAUUUAUGCAAAUGAGAUGAAGGAGUCAAGACUCAAGUCGCUUACUGCAAAUUUACAUCGUAUGGGGGUGACAAACACUAUAGUUUAUUGUUGAUGCACCUGA